rnacentral:rRNA from 1 species
AAUUUUGGACAGUGGGGGCAACCCUGAUCCAGCCAUCCCGCGUGUGCGAUGAAGGCCUUCGGGUUGUAAAGCACUUUUGGCAUGGAAGAAACAGCCUGGUCGAAUACCCUGGGCGACUGACUGUACCUGCAGAAUAAGCAUCGGCUAACUACGUGCCAGCAGCCGCGGUAAUACGUAGGGUGCAAGCGUUAAUCGGAAUUACUGGGCGUAAAGCGUGCGCAGGCGGUUCGGAAAGAAAGGUGUGAAAUCCCAGGGCUUAACCUUGGAACUGCACUUUUAACUGCCGGGCUAGAGUACGUCAGAGGGGGGUAGAAUUCCACGUGUAGCAGUGAAAUGCGUAGAGAUGUGGAGGAAUACCGAUGGCGAAGGCAGCCCCCUGGGAUGAUACUGACGCUCAUGCACGAAAGCGUGGGGAGCAAACA